rnacentral:lncRNA from 1 species
AAGUUUGGUUCCACCCGGAAGUGUUUCCGCCCGGAAAAACAGAACACCGGAACUUCCGGUAGCGCCGUAAGAGGAAAAAUCAGGGAAUUCGAUGCACCUGUGCCUAGUUAGGGACAGCGGUCGGUGAUUGGAGGAUACGCUGGACAAGGCAGUACUUAAGGCCAAUUUAUUUCACAGUCUGGGAGCUCUUUCUGGCUGGAAUUGUAUGAUUGUGAAGACAUCGCGAACCUUAAAGGUUGAGAAGUGAACGGAUUAUACGGCGAACCGAGACGACGUGAAAAAGGGGAUUGGAAGCGGCAUUGAUGUGAGUACUAAGAGCCAGUCGAAAGUGCCCUGUAUAUUGACCUGGCGUUGUGUAGAUCUCUCCAGGAGGAGGAGGGCGGCCCUACCCCUAAUAUAGCGUGGUGGGAGAGCCGAAGGAAUACUUAUUGAAGUAGUCACAACGACGACAUCACUAGCUAGGCCGCAUUUUCCAUCGCCAGAUCCGAACCAAGCGAAGUGAAGGAAGACGGGUGUCCUUUUCGUACACUGAGUGUGGUGGGUGAGUCUUCGUGCUGUGAAAACCUAUAAUUUUGACGUGGUGCUGUAUAUUGCUGUGGGUUGCUGUGUAUUGCCGUGUGUCCUGUCAGAUAAACCCCCGCCUUCACGCACUUCGUCGCGGGAGGACAAGGAGACUGCUGGUCCUAGCCUAGUUCAGUACAGUAUAUGUUGUGAGCGUGCUUCAGAUCUCCGGAGAUAGCACGGUACGCUGUGUCCAGCCCAGAGGUGAGAGCCAUCCAAAGCAGAGUAACUGUGCUUUGUGUCCAAGUUGAUACCUGUGGAGAGGAAAGGAAAGAGAGAGUGAGUAACACAAGGAGAAACAGAGGAAACCUGUACUUACAGUACGCUGUGUUCAGCCCAGAGGUGAGAGCCAUUCAAAGCAAACUAACUGUGCUAUUGUGCCCAAGCUGAUACCUGUGGAGAGAAAAGGAAGGAGAGAGUGAGUAACACAAGGAGAAACGGAGGCAACCUGUACUUACAGUACGCUGUGUUCAGCCCAGAGGUGAGAGCCAUUCAAAGCAAACUAACUGUGUUAUUGUGCCCAAGUUGAUACCUGUGGAGAGAAAAGGAGAGAGAGUGAAUAACACGAGGAGGAAUAGAGCGAACCCUGUACUUACAGUACGCUGUGUUCAGCCCAGAGGUGAGAGCCAUUCAAAGCAAACUAACUGUGCUAUUGUGCCCAAGCUGAUACCUGUGGAGAGAAAAGGAAGGAGAGAGUGAGUAACACAAGGAGAAACGGAGGAAACCUGUACUUACAGUACGCUGUGUUCAGCCCAGAGGUGAGAGCCAUUCAAAGCAAACUAACUGUGUUAUUGUGCCCAAGUUGAUACCUGUGGAGAGAAAAGGAGAGAGAGUGAAUAACACGAGGAGGAAUAGAGCGAACCCUGUACUUACAGUACGCUGUGUCCAGCCUAGAGGUGAAAGCCAUCCAAAGCAGAGUAACUGUGCUUUGUGUCUAAGUUGAUACCUGUAGAGAGGAGGAGAGAGAGUGGAUAACGCGAGGAGAAAUAGAGCGAAACCUGUACUUACAGUACGCUGUGUCCAGCCCAGAGGUGAGAGCCAUCCAAAGCAGAGUAACUGUGCUUUGUGUCCAAGUUGAUACCCGUGGAGAGGAAAGGAAAGAGAGAGUGAGUAACACAAGGAGCAACAGAGGGAAUCUGUACUUGCAGUACGCUUAGUCCAACCAAGAGGUGAGAGCCAUCCAAAGCAGAGUAACUG